CCUACGGGGUGCAGCAGUGGGGAAUAUUGGACAAUGGGCGAAAGCCUUAUCCAGCCAUGCCGCGUGUGUGAAGAAGGCCUUCGGGUUGUAAAGCACUUUCAGUGGGGAAGAAAGCCUUGGGGCUAAUACCCUCGAGGAAGGACAUCACCCACAGAAGAAGCACCGGCUAACUCCGUGCCAGCAGCCGCGGUAAUACGGAGGGUGCGAGCGUUAAUCGGAAUUACUGGGCGUAAAGCGCGCGUAGGCGGUCUGAUAAGCCGGUUGUGAAAGCCCCGGGCUCAACCUGGGAACGGCAUCCGGAACUGUCAGGCUAGAGUGCAGGAGAGGAAGGUAGAAGUCCCGGUGUAGCGGUGAAAUGCGUAGAGAUCGGGAGGAAUACCAGUGGCGAAGGCGGCCUUCUGGACUGACACUGACGCUGAGGUGCGAAAGCGUGGGUAGCAAACAGGAUUAGAUACCCCAGUAGUC
rnacentral:rRNA from 1 species